CCAAAGGCUCUUUUAAGAGCCACCUAUGUACUCCUUGAAAGAGCUU
rfam:Caprimulgus carolinensis contig7077, whole genome shotgun sequence.